CUGGGAUCCUUCCUCUGGGCACCAUGGGAAUGGCAUAACUCGUAUCGAAAGCAAACGUUACUGGAAUUAUUGCACCUUAAAGCGUAGGUUCGCUUAGGUGGCUGCUUGGCGGUAUAUGAAAGGAGGACAGAAAAUAGGAUUGUUGGAUGCAAAUGUUUUGAUUUGAUGUUGCUUGUGAGCAAGAAAAAAUGGCAGUGAAGAGGUGUCUCAGCAAAUAACUGAGGAAGUGAAAUACCCCUGUUGCCUACAGAUUGUGGAUAUUUGGUCUUGACUGGUGUCACCUCUGAGGCAAAAGUGUCACAGAAUAAACUUUAUGUACAGAGGAUGCUAUCUGGUUUACGAGGCGUGGGGAUCAGCAGUAUCUGUGUCAGGUUCAGUGGAAAGAAAUUACAUGAGGAUUAGGUAAGUGACCUGUUGAUCUGCUGGAAAAUAUGAUAUCAGCUUGAAUUUAACCAGAGGAUUUGUAGAGCCUCCUAAAACUUGUGUUCCGCAGAAAGGUUUUUGAUUUGGUUUUUAUUUUGUGAGACACUGCACCUGGAGAAAGAAGCUUGCUGGGUGAUUACAAUAGGUCUGCAAGGGAAGACACUGGAUGCAGGACUGGAGUGGGAGAGGGAGAUGCUCUGAUGGAUUUGGAAAGACAUUGAGGAGGGAGUACUCCAUUUGAGCUGAAAGGGCUGGUCUAUCUUGGUAAAGAGAGUCUUUCUGGUGGGAAGUCUGGAUUGCAGCGCAAGCCAGGGGAGCGCUAGGCAGGUGAGCACAGCAUAGGAGGCCCACAGCUGGAGUGUCCAUCCCCAUGGCUUGCAAGCCUUUUGUUGUGUGGAGGGUUUGACUCUCCUCUCACUUAGGCCAAGAGGAAAUGUCUGUGACUGCUGCACUUCAGCUGGAGACACACUGUUACCUUCUCUGCAAAAUGACAAAACUUAUGUUUGUUAUCAGCUAUACAGGUGGGUAAUCUUUUUUCACUUUAUCUGUUAAAUUCUGCCAGGUUUCUUGCCUUUGUUGGGAUUGAAUAUACUAUUAUUUCCCCCUUACUCUGUCUCUCACUUUUUAUACUAGGAGACUGGUUUAGAACCAUACAAUCGUCAAGGUUGGAAGGAGCCUCUAAGAUCAUGCAGUACAACAGCCAACCCAGCACUACCACUGUAACUCUAAACCACUAAGUAUAACCCAGCACCAGAUCUAGAAGCUUCUAUCUAGAUCUGGUGACACCACCACCUCCCUGGGCAACUUAUUCCAAUGCUUGACCACCCUAACAGUGACAUUUUUGUUCUAAUAUCUAAUCUGAUUCUUGUAUCUCAGCUGAAGGCCAUUUCCUCUGGUCCUUUCACUGCAGGCACAGUAGAUGAGACCAACCCCCCACCACAUUACAGCCUUCUUUCAGGGAGUUGUAGAGAGCAAUGAGGUCUCCCUUGAGCCUGCUCUUCUCGUGAUUAAAUAAACCCAACUCCCUCAGCCAUUCAUCAUAAGACAUUUUCUAGUCCUUUUGUGAGCCUUGUUGACUUUCACUGGACAAGCUCCAGCACCUCUGUGUCCUGGAGGUGUGAGGGGGCCAAAACUGGACUCGAGGUGCAGCUUCAGCAAUGCCAAGGACCGGAGGAUGGUCACUCCCCUUGUCCUGCUGGCCACACUGUUCUUGGGUCAGCCCAAGAUGCCAUUGGCCUGGGCACACGCUGCCUCACAACGAGCACCCCCAAGUCCCUUUUUGCUGAGCAACUCUUAAGCCAAUUCCCCCCAGCCUGUAGUGCUGCCUGGGUUUGCUGAGGGUAAAGUGCAGAACCCAGCACUUGGCCUUACUGAGCCUCAUCCAGUUGUCCUCGGCCCAUGGAUCAAGUCUGUCCAGGUCUCUGUAGAGCCUGACUACCCUCGAGCAUGUCUAUGGUUCAACUAACACACUUCAGGGGGUUUCUUUGUGUAGGGUGCAUCAAGGUCUACUUUUUUGAUUGGUUAUUUGGCUGGUGUUUUGUUUGUUGGUUUUUUUUGUUGUUUGUUUUGGUUUUGGUUUUUGGUUUGGUUUGUUUUUUGUUUUGUGGGGUUUUUUUGUUUGGUUUGGUUGGAUUUUGUUUGUUGUUUGUUUUGUUUUGGGGUUUGGUUUGAUUUUUGAGGGGUUGUUUGGGGUUUUUUUUUGUUUUUUGUUUGUUUUGGUUUUGGGUUUGGUUUGAUUUUUUGUGUGGUUUGGUUUUUUUUGUUUUGUUUUUGUUUUGGGUUUUUUUGGUUUGGUUUGGUUUUGGGUUUGAUUUUGUGUGUAUGUGUGUUUUUUAUUGUCUUUGUUUGGUUGGUUGUUUUUGUUUGUUUGUUUUGUUUCUGGGUUUUGUUUGAUUUUUUGUGGGUUUGUUUGUUUUGUUUUUGGGUUUGAUUUGAUUUUUUUGUGGUUUGUUUUUGUUUUUGUUUUUGUUUUGGUUGGUUGGUUGGUUUUUUGUUUGUGGGUUGGGGGGUUGUUUGUUUUUUGUUUUGUUUUGUUUUUGGGUUUGGUUUGAUUUUUGUGGGUUUGUUUGUUUGUUUUUGUGUUUUUGUUGUUUGUUUGUUUUGUUUUGUUUUCCCUGCCGGGUCCGCCGUGUGAGCGCUGGGGCGCGGGCCGGGCAGGGCCGGCCGCGGGGCGGCGCUCGGGGCGCCCGGAGCAGCCGCGAUCCGCCGGCAGACCGCGAGGGGUCAGCGCGGGCUUUGCUGCGGGCGCCGCGCCCGCCCGAAGGCUGUGGCAGCACGGGGGAGUGGGCUGGCUUUGCACCAGGGCUGUCAGCAGCGACGGCAGAGCCCACUCACUCACGCUGUUGCCAUGUGACAUUCACCGCCGCCCCUCGUCUCCCCCUUGACCCAGAGGAUGAUUUCGAGUCGAUCUGCCAAAGUGCCCACCAGUUAAACAUAUUAAAAACAUGGGAGGAAAAGCCCAAGAAAGCAAGCAGUGGAGACCGAUCUUCGCUGAAGUUGUUUGCUUGUUAGGCAUCAAAGGGAUCACAUCUGCAGAGCUGAUGCCUUCGAACCAGGGACAGGACCUUGGGCUUGCACAUCUCUCCUCUCUACACCUCCUCUUCUGCAUCAGAGGCCUGGUGUUGAUCCUAUGGUUUGAAAUAAGCUGGAUUGAGUGUCUAGUAAUGAAUGCUUCACAGCCUUCAGCACCAUCUGUGCUAGGAGACUUGGAAAUAAUAGGGCAAACUGAAAAGUGUAAUGUCAAGAAGCCCUAAUUCCAGGGUGCUGGAUCAUUAAGCUGAAACUGGAAGCCUGCAUGUCAAAGGAUUAAUGCAUUAAUAUGGUUCUAUAUACUGCUUUAUUAUCUAGACAGAUAUAUUUUACUAUUACAUAUGCACUGUUUGUUCUCCAUGCUGAGUUAUUUUGGCUUACUAAUUCGGAUCCAUUUUAAGUAACUUUCACUUUUACUGUAAUGAGAAAGUCAUCCAAGUCAUAGCUGAUAUCAGCUUCUCAAAGCUGUGAGUCAGUUCUGGAUUUCCCACCUAUUUCAUCAGAAAUAGGUCCUUGAAUACUUCUAAGAGACAUACCAUUUAAUGUGUCUUACCAUUCAAGCUAUUCUUCUGCAUUUAUAUACUUAGGGAAAAAAAAAAAAGACCAAAAAAAAAAAAAAAAAAAAAAAAAAAAAAAAAAAGCAGCAGAUGUAUGAAAGGGUUUUUAUCUUUUGAGAAUGAAUGGUAUAUGCUAUGUACACAAUGCUAAUUCCAGCACGUGGAGACAAUUGCACUUGCCUGAAUACAGGCCAGCAGAUAAUUUUCUGGAAACUUCUCACAUCAUUUUUAAAAGAAAGCAAACUGAGAAUUUAUGCCCUUCUCAAGCAAAUUCAGACUGAGAGGUCACUGGUUUGGUUUCCAAGUCAAGAACGCCUUUGCAUGUUAGUAGGGUAAAAAAGAUUGUUAGGCUUGAGAAUUCUUGUUUACAACAAAGAGUUUUCUCCCCAGUACUCACAGCUCUGUAGACAGAAGAGAAAUGUUCUUAGAGAGGCUGGAUGUAUCUGGCAGACAUCAUGCCUAUGUUGUCACUAGUUAAAAAUGGAAACUCUCUAAGUGAUUACUACCAGGUCGAAUGCUGUCACCUGUAGUGUCACCAGGGCAUUAACUAGAAACAACUGGAAGUAGAAACACAACAGCUCUUUAAAGUGGCUCAGUUUGAGAGGCAUUUUGGGAACUAUGGUGCUCAAAGGGGCUGAAACUACUGAGCAGAGCAUAGCAUAUACAGUCACAGAUAAGAGGUGCUUCCUCCAGGACUCCCAGUGAAAUACUGGAAAGGACAUCCCCGGGUUUCAACACGUUCGAUCGGAGGCCAUGCGGCUGCAGGCUAGGGAGCAGCAAGGAUGACAAGUUAGAGAGGUCUGUCUGUGCAGUCCGCUGGAUCGGUCCGGACAGGUCGCAGUAGCACAGGUUACCCCAAGGUGGCUCUCCACAACCUCUGUGGAACUUGGGCUUGGGCUGCUCUGAAGCGGUGUCUCGGUGGAGACAAGUGCUAACUGUGAGCUUAAGCCUAAGCGUGUCAGACACUGAAGGGAUGUGAAAAGUGAUUUGUCUUUUAAUAUUUAGACUGUGCUCAUUCACAACAGGGAAAUGUGUUUUAUUAUUGGUUGGUUUGCUAACAAACAGGCUCUAAUCUGAGUUCAGCAAUCACACUAGUUUCAGUCUGAAUUAAUUUUGAAGGAUACACUGACCAAAUUACAGCUACUUUUAAUAAAGCCCGACUGAAAAAAAAAAAAAUCUGUUCACUCACACCACUCCCCCCAUCCUCAGGAUCAUAGGCCAGUACAGCCUGCAGAAAGAUUACCAGUGACCUCAGAACAGGUCAGCAUCAGGGCUUGCAGUCCUGCAAAAUCCAGACAGCCUCCCUGGACAGGGAGCCUGCUCUGCUGCUUGACUGUUACCAGGGAGAAAGGGUUUUUCUAACAUCCGAUCUGAGCCUCUUGAUUCACCUUAGUCUCAUUGUCUCCUACAUCCCCACUAGGAAUUGCUGUGCAGACCCUGGUGUUUUCUUCUCAAUGAUCGCUCCACAGGUUUUUGGGGACUGCAGUUUGCCUCCCAAACUUUGCCUUCCCCAGGCUGAACUGGCCCUGGUCCCUCAGCCUGCAGAGCAGGACAGCGCCGCAGCUUUGGGCACUCCGGUGCCCCCAUCUGCACUUGCUCCAGUUCAUCGAUGAGUUUCCCCUGCUGGGGUGCCCAAACCGGACAGACGACAUUGCUGCUGUUCCGUGAGUGCUGAGCAGAGGGGGAUCAUCCUCUCCCUCGGCCGGCUGGCCCUGCUGCUGUCCAUGCACACCGGGGCACGGGGUGGCUUUGCUGCAGCCGGGGCCGCUACUGAGCAUCACCGGGUGACUGCCCAGUGCAGCCCAGGACCUCCUCUGCAGAGCUGUCCUCAGCGCUAGUGGUCACUGGGGCUGUCCCUUCUCGACGUUCACAUUUGCAGAAACCAUAUUAAUAAAACCUUUUGUUUCCUUUUUUCUUUCUUUUUCUCUCUCUCAUUAUUAUUAUUAUUAUUAUUAUUAUUAUUAUUAUUAUUAUUAUUAUUAUUAUUAUUUCCCCUGCACUGUUCAGAUUUUCCGUUCCAAGUCUUGGGCACAAGUCGCCCUCCUACUUGCCAGUGCCUGCCGGCCAGCGGUGUGCAGGGAGCGGUGGCGCGUGUAGGCGCACCGCUGGAACCGCCGGCACCGCUGUCUGGGGCCGGCACCGCUGUCUCGGGCCGGCACCGCUGGCACCGCUGUCUCGGGCCGGCACCGCUGGCACCGCUGUCUCGGGCCGGCACCGCUGGCACCGCUGGCUCGGGUCGGCACCGCUGGCACCGCUGGCUCGG